UACAGAGGUGGCAAGCGUUGUUCGGAAUUACUGGGCGUAAAGGGCGCGUAGGCGGCCUCUUUAGUCAGACGUGAAAUCCCCCGGCUUAACCUGGGAACUGCGUCUGAUACUGGGAGGCUAGAGUUCGGGAGAGGGAUGUAGAAUUCCAGGUGUAGCGGUGAAAUGCGUAGAUAUCUGGAGGAAUACCGGUGGCGAAGGCGGCAUCCUGGACCGACAUUGACGCUGAGGAGCGAAAGCUAGGGGAGCAAACGGG
rnacentral:rRNA from 1 species